rnacentral:rRNA from 1 species
UACGGAGGGACCGAGCGUUAUCCGGAAUCAUUGGGUUUAAAGGGUCCGUAGGCGGGACAUUAAGUCAGGGGUGAAAUGUUGCAGCUCAACUGCAGAAUGGCCUUUGAUACUAGUGAUCUUGAGUUAUGUUGCUGUGGUAGGAACAUGUGGUGUAGCGGUGAAAUGCAUAGAUAUCACAUAGAACGCGGAUUCCGAAGGCAGGUCACAAAGCAGAUACUGACGCUGAAAGGAGAACGCGAGGGGAGCGAACGGG